ACAAUAUUUUUCUUUUUAGGUUGCAAUAUAACAUGAGCUGAAGCAAGCAAAUUUCUCUGCAACAAGUAUGAUGAUCUAUCUUUUGCAACCUGUUCCAUCAGCUUAGCUGCUUCUUUGUUCCUUUCCCAAACUCUAACUACCUAAUACCCAUGUCUUGAACACCUCUAAAGUCUGUUUAAUACAUCAUGUAUAGUAAUCUUUUAUUGUGAAUUGCAUUCUAUAUAUAAACUAUAUUCAAACACUCGCAGCAAAGCGCGGGCCUAAUUUCUAGUCUAUUAUAAGCGCUGGCUCUGCCUUAUUGUUCGCAUUCCGAACAGUGACUUUCCGUUUGUUGGGCAAGGCCUGCAUCUCUUUCUCUUCUUAUUCUUUUUCUUGCUCUCGAUCUCUCUCAAAACUCCACCGAAUCAUCUCUAAUUCUUUUCCUGUUCUGCUCUUUUCUGAAGUUUCGAGAGCAUCGAUUCUGAUUACUUUCCAGAAAAUCAAAGAGCCCAAGCCAAAAAGGAAAAGAGAGAAGCCGAAGCAAAUGAGGAUAGAGAUCAUUUUCUGCAGUCUUUUGGUGAUUUUUUUUAAUCGUGGUAGCGGGUUGUGAUUGGUUCAUUUUCCAGUCCAGUGCCCCUCAGUUUCUCCAUUCCACCAUUUUCCAGGUAGAGUACCAAGAAAAAACGCAGACUUAAUCAUGCCAGAAGAUAUACCUUGACCAUUUUGAAGGUACAAUUAUUGUAAUACUGAACAAGGAAGCCUUCAAGCUACAAAGUUUACUC